rnacentral:rRNA from 1 species
AGAGUUAAACAGUGCGUGAAAUUGUUAAAAUGGAAACGAUUGAAAUCAGUAUUGCUGGCUAGAAAUCAGCCAAAUGUUACUUAGUAGUAUGUGUGGAGAGACCGUAAGGCUCUUGCUUAUGCUUACUAGGCUUCAUGUGGUGCACUUUCUUGUUGGCAGGUCAACAUCAGUUUUGCUCGGCGGAAAAAGGUGAAGGGAAGGUAGCAGUGCUUUCGGGUGCUGUGUUAUAGCCCUCAUUGAUACGCUGGGUGGGACUGAGGACUGCAGCACAGGCCUUUAGGCUGGCCGCCUGGAGUUUUCUAUUAGCCUCUGAUCGGACAGCACGCUGACCGGUUGGAGAUACUGGUGGAAUUAUUUCAGUCCGGUACAACUGUGCUUAGGAUGUUGACGAAAUGGUUUUAAACGACC